rnacentral:rRNA from 1 species
AUGGGUGCGCAGAGGCAGACGCGCGUGAACGACGCCGCCACGUUCAGCGACGACGACUUGCGCAGCCUCCCCGGCCCGGCAGCCGGCGCCGCAGCCUUGCCGGUGGCCGACACCCCCGCCGCCGCGGCCGCCUUCGUCGUCGUCGGCGCACCCGCCGGCUGCUUCCAGAUGAGGAGCAGCAGCUCCACCGCGCGCUGGUACCACGGCGACUUCUUGGACAGGCCUCUCGCUCUGGCCGCGCCGCCGCCGUCUUUCGAUCUGCAUGCAAGACAUCACUCAUGUCAGUCGACACGAACCUCCAGAAUUAUCACAACAACGAAACAUGAGCGCGCGCGCGCACACGCGAGCUAG